rnacentral:lncRNA from 1 species
UACGACCACAAUCCCGACCCACCAGUAGGAUUGUAUGAUAGAUGUUUGUCUCUGUGAUAUUCAUCUAGGGUUGCUACUACCUGUGAUAUGUUAUUGUGCUAGUAUGAUAUGAUGCUAUGUGCUAGUGACAGUAAGGGGAGAUAGUCCCCAGUAUAUCGGUCGAUAGGGCCGNGAUUAAAUGAUUGUCUCUGUGAUAUUCAUCUAGGAUUGCUACUACCUGUGAUAUGUUAUUGUGCUAGUAUGAUAUGAUGCUAUGUGCUAGUGACAGUAAGGGGAGAUAGUCCCCAGUAUAUCGGUCGAUAGGGCCGAAGGGGCGGUCAUGCCCAGCCAUGCUAGAUAGAUUAUGAGAUAUAUAUGUUAUGUGGUAGUAGUAGGGGGUGAAAUAGUCC